GUACAUCUACGUUCCACCUUAUCCCCCCACUUCAUUUCGAAUACUCGCAUGUAUAUAUAAAUGGAGCUUAUCAAAGUGAAAUUUUCGUCUAUGCGUCGGAUCUAGUUUGCCUCUCAUUUCAUUGUCAUCUAUCACGAAAAUCCAGCAAAAUGAAAGUUGCUCUUGUACUUUGUCUUUUGAGCUUGUUUUUUGCGCUAGUAGCGUCAAGCAACUCGGACGAGUCAUCCCAGAAUUUACAGUUCAAACGAUUUUGUACAGUCGUUGACCCGGAUGCGCUUGAAGAAGAAGUAGCCCGUCGAGCUAGUAAAAUUUCGCGCAGUCCCACUGAACAAGAAGUAACGGUAUUGUACAAUUACGUGAGACAUAAAUCCCAAUGGGCUGCUGCCAAUUGCCAAGUAUGGAAGUACACCGAUGACUAACCUAGUAAAAUUACUCUUGGCAGGAACAAUCCACGAAACAACUACAGAUACGAAUCAAAGGUUUUGCUGACUUCCUGAUUUCUUCCAAUUAGAGCAUAUAAAUGAAGAAGUGUUUUUAAAAAAUUUUUUAAAUGAGAAUUAUG